GUGAACGAGCGACGCCGCGUGCGGGAUGAAGGCCUUCGGGUUGUAAACUCCUGUCGAGGGGGAAGAAGGCCGGGCGACCGGCUUGACCGAUCCCUGGAGGAAGCACGGGCUAAGUUCGUGCCAGCAGCCGCGGUAAGACGAACCGUGCGAACGUUAUUCGGAAUCACUGGGCUUAAAGCGCGUGUAGGCGGGUGCGUGCGUCGGACCCUGAAAGCCCCCGGCUCAACCGGGGAAGUGGGGCCGAUACGGCGUGCCUGGAGGGACGUAGGGGGACCUGGAACUUCCGGUGGAGCGGUGAAAUGCGUUGAGAUCGGAAGGAACGCCCGUGGCGAAAGCGAGGUCCUGGACGUCUGCUGACGCUGAGACGCGAAAGCUAGGGGAGCGAACGGGAUUAGAUACCCCGGUAGUCCUAGCCGUAAACGAU
rnacentral:rRNA from 1 species